rnacentral:lncRNA from 1 species
AAUUGCUAGAGAUAUCGAAGAGAUGAUGAGGAGCCCACAUUUUUGGAAUGAACUUGAAGCAGUGCAUUCACUGGUAAAACUGAUUAAGACAAUGGCACAGGAUAUCCAGACAGAGAAGCCGCGUGUAGGGCAGUGCCUUCCUCUUUGGGAGGAGCUUAGGGUGAAAGUGAAGGAUUGGUGUUCGAAGUUUCACAUUAUCGCCGCGUGUAGGACAGUGCCUUCCUCUUUGGGAGGAGCUUAGGGUGAAAGUGAAGGAUUGGUGUUCGAAGUUUCACAUUAUCGAGGGACCAGUAGAGAAGGUGAUUGAAAGGAGAUUUAACAAGAACUAUCAUCCUGCUUGGGCUGCUGCUUUUAUAC